rnacentral:rRNA from 1 species
GAUGAACGCUGGCGGCGUGCCUAAUACAUGCAAGUUGAGCGAACAGAUGAGGAGCUUGCUCCUCUGACGUUAGCGGCUGACGGGUGAGUAACACGUGGAUAACCUACCUAUAAGACUGGGAUAACUUCGGGAAACCGGAGCUAAUACCGGAUAAUAUAUUGAACCGCAUGGUUCAAUAGUGAAAGACGGUUUUGCUGUCAUUUAUAGAUGGAUCCGCGCUGCAUUAGCUAGUUGGUAAGGUAACGGCUUACCAAGGCAACGAUGCGUAGCCGACCUGAGCGGGUGAUCGGCCACACUGGAACUGAGACACGGUCCAGACUCCUACGGGAGGCAGCAGUAGGGAAUCUUCCGCAAUGGGCGAAGGCCUGACGGAGCAACGCCGCAUGAGUGAUGAAGGUCUUCGGAUCGUAAGACUCUGUUAUUAGGGAAGAACAAAUGUGUAAGUAACUAUGCACGUCUUGACGAUACCUAAUCAGAAAGCCACGGCUAACUACGUG